rnacentral:rRNA from 1 species
UACGGAGGGAGCUAGCGUUGUUCGGAAUUACUGGGCGUAAAGCGCACGUAGGCGGCUUUGUAAGUUAGAGGUGAAAGCCCGGAGCUCAACUCCGGAAUUGCCUUUAAGACUGCAUCGCUUGAAUCCAGGAGAGGUGAGUGGAAUUCCGAGUGUAGAGGUGAAAUUCGUAGAUAUUCGGAAGAACACCAGUGGCGAAGGCGGCUCACUGGACUGGUAUUGACGCUGAGGUGGCGAAAGCGUGGGGAGCAAACAGG